rnacentral:rRNA from 1 species
GUUCCUUGGAAAAGGACAGCUGAGAGGGUGAAACUCCCGUCCGCCUGGUAGAAUGAGUCUUUGUCAACGAGUCGAGUUGUUUGGGAUUGCAGCUCUAAUUUGGUGGUAAAUUCCAUCUAAAGCUAAAUAUUGGUGGGAGACCGAUAGCGUACAAGUACCGUGAGGGAAAGAUGCAAAGAACUUUGAAAAGAGAGUUAAAGAGUACCUGAAAUUGCUGAAACGGAAGCGAAGGAAACCAGUGUUUGUUGGUUCAUAUUUCCCUGGCCACUUGUGGUUUGGGCGCUGUGAGCUUGCGUGGGUUUGCUUUGGUUGAUCCCUUUGGAAGAGCGCAGUCAGAGUUGAUGUCU